UACGGGGGGGUGCGAGCGUUGUCCGGAAUCACUGGGCGUAAAGGGCGCGUAGGUGGUCUUAUAAGGGUGUGGUGAAAGCCCGGGGGCUCAACCCCCGGGUCGGCCGUGCCGACUGUAAGACUAGAGUGCUGUAGGGGCAGGCGGAAUUCCGGGUGUAGCGGUGGAAUGCGUAGAGAUCCGGAGGAAGACCGGUGGCGAAGGCGGCCUGCUGGGCAGUUACUGACACUGAGGCGCGACAGCGUGGGGGAGCAAACAGG
rnacentral:rRNA from 1 species